rnacentral:misc_RNA from 1 species
UCUCCGUUGGUGAACCAGCGGAGGGAUCAUUACCGAGUUAUUCAACUCAUCAACCCUGUGAACUUACCUGUACGUUGCUUCGGCGGGAAUAGACGGCCCCGUAAAACGGGCCGCCCCCGCCAGAGGACCCUUAACUCUGUUUCUUUUAGUGUAUCUUCUGAGUAAAACAAGCAAAUAAAUUAAAACUUUCAACAACGGAUCUCUUGGCUCUGGCAUCGAUGAAGAACGCAGC